CUGUCCCCUUGGCAGAGAAACAGCCCCAUAGCAUGAUGUUUCCACCCCCAUGCUUCACAGUAGGUAUGGUGUUCUUGGGAUGCAACUCAGUAUUCUUCUUCCUCCAAACACGACGAGUUGAGUUUAUACCAAAAAGUUCUACUUUGGUUUCAUCUGACCACAUGACAUUCUCCCAAUCCUCUGCUGUAUCAUCCAUGUGCUCUCUGGCAAACUUCAGACGGGCCUGGACAUGCACUGGCUUCAGCAGCGGAACACGUCUGGCACUGCGGGAUUUGAUUCCCUGCCGUUGUAGUGUGUUACUGAUGGUGACCUUUGUUACUUUGGUCCCAGCUCUCUGCAGGUCAUUCACCAGGUCCCCCCGUGUGGUUCUGGGAUCUUUGCUCACCGUUCUCAUGAUCAUUUUGACCCCACGGGAUGAGAUCUUGCGUGGAGCCCCAGAUCGAGGGAGAUUAUCAGUGGUCUUGUAUGUCUUCCAUUUUCUGAUGAUUGCUCCCACAUUUGAUUUUUUCACACCAAGCUGCUUGCCUAUUGUAGAUUCACUCUUCCCAGUCUGGUGCAGGUCUACAAUACUUUUCCUGGUGUCCUUCGAAAGCUCUUUGGUCUUGGCCAUGGCGGAGUUUGGAGUCUGACUGUUUGAGGCUGUGGACAGGUGUCUUUUAUACAGAUGAUGAGUUCAAACAGGUGCCAUUCAUACAGGUAACGAGUGGGGGACACAAAAGCUUCUUACAGAAGACGUUACAGGUCUGUGAGAGCCAGAGAUUUUCCUUGUUUGAGGUGACCAAAUACUUAUUUUCCACCAUAAUUUACAAAUAAAUUCUUUACAAAUCCUACCAUGUGAAUUCAUGGAUUUUUUUUUUUUUUUUUUUUUUCACAUUCUGUCUCUCACAGUUGAAGUGUACCUCUGGUGCAAAUUACUGACCUCUGUCUUCAUUUUAAGUGGGGGAACUUGCACAAUCGGUGGCUGACUAAAUACUUUUUUGCCCCACUGUAUGUGCAACAAUUUCAGAAUUUACAACUGGGAAAAACAGUCACAGACAACUGUAACUGUCAGCAUUUCAUCUUGUCAGCAAAUUGUAGUUUUUGUCAACUUCCAUGGUAAACAUCUUUUCUGUUUCCCAGCAGCAGAAUCUGUUUACAUUGUUUUCAGGACCUCUUGGAACAUUUAGUUUACCCGGAAAACAUUUGGUACAACAGGAGCCCUAUCCAAAAUCCUCAGAUCCUCCUGGCUGCACUAAUCUAAUCAGCAUGUUCGUGCUAAAGAAAAGCUCACAUCUCCAGUGCUUCGUUUCAGUACAAAAUUACAAGAACGCCAUUAGACGAAAUACUGAUGAUGCUUAGUUUGAGUAGUUUUCUUCUGUACACACUUGUUUGACACUUUUAUUGAAGAUAUAAAACCAAUGAAGCACUAUAAAUAAAUAAUUGUGUUUCAGAAGCAAUAAAGCUAAAUAGAAUUAUCAAGCUCAUAACUGAAUGAAGACAUGGCAAUAAACUGCUGUAGACAAUCAUGCAGUCGUGAGACAAAUUCCCUCUUGCAUGCAUCUCAAUAACAACUGUGCUCAUGGAAAAAAAUCUUUUCGAAACAUUAAGAAAUACAUUCUAAA
ensembl:lncRNA